CAGCAGUCAAGAAUAUUAGUCAAUGCUCGCAAGAGUGAACUAGCUAACUGAAAUCAUAUGACUCACUCUGUUGAGAAUUAUGAUAACGUAAGGGAAAAAAAUGAUAUUACCUUACUAUUAGUGUUGUCCAAAACUGGUGCCAGAAGACUCGGUAAGGCCAGAGACGCAAACGUUAGUCGUCCUAAUCAGGCGUAAAGGGUAUGUAGGCUGCUUUAAAAAUUUUAUCAUUUAAAAAAGCUCUUUAAUUAUAUAAAUUCAAUUUAUAUAUUAUAGUAAAUAUAAAAUGAAUUAAAGCUAGGAUCAAAUUGAGGAUAAACCAAAUAAUACUUAGUGUAGGGUUGAUAUCUAUAGAUACUAAGGGGAAUACUAAAGGUGAAAGCUUUUUAUCUAAUAAUGAUUGACGCUGAGAAACGAAGGUGAGAAUAGGAAAUAGGAUUAGAUACCCAGAUACCUCUCACUGUCAACGAUGAAUGGUGGUUGUUAGUUUUAAUAAAAACUGGUAACGAUGUUAACACGAUAACCAUUCCGCCUUGCGAGUACGGUUGCAAAACUGAAACCAAAAAAAUUAGUCGGUCUCGAAGCAAACGAAGUGAAGCAUGUUAUUUAAUUCGAUAAUCC
rnacentral:rRNA from 1 species